rnacentral:rRNA from 1 species
UACGGGGGGGGCAAGCGUUGUUCGGAAUUACUGGGCGUAAAGGGUUCGUAGGUGGCUUGCUAAGUCAGACGUGAAAUCCCUCAGCUUAACUGGGGAACUGCGUCUGAGACUGGUGAGCUUGAGUGCAGGAGAGGAACGCGGAAUUCCAGGUGUAGCGGUGAAAUGCGUAGAUAUCUGGAGGAACACCGGUGGCGAAGGCGGCGUUCUGGACUGCUACUGACACUGAGGCGCGAAAGCCAGGGGAGCAAACGGG